CCAAUUCUGAUAGCAUGUGGUGUA
rnacentral:siRNA from 1 species